rnacentral:rRNA from 1 species
GACAGAGGUGCCAAGCGUUAGGCGGAAUCACUGGGCUUAAAGCGUGUGUAGGCGGGCGGGCAAGUACCUUGUGAAAUCCCACGGCUCAACCGUGGAACGGCUGGGUAUACUGCCUGUCUUGAGCCAACUAGGGGCGAGCGGAACAGACGGUGGAGCGGUGAAAUGCGUAGAUAUCGUCUGGAACGCCGAAGGUGAAAACAGCUCGCUGGGGUUGUGCUGACGCUGAGACACGAAAGCCAGGGGAGCGAGCGGG